rnacentral:lncRNA from 1 species
GACAUAGAGAGGUGUUGUGGUGUGUUGGGAGACAGGGAGAGGUGUUGGGAGACAAAGAGAGGUGUUAUGGUGUGUUGAGAGACAGAUAGAGGUGUUGUGGUUUGUUGGGAGACAGAGAGAGGUGUUGUGGUGUGUUGAGAGACAGGGAGAGGUGUUGUGGUGUGUUUGGAGACAGAGAGGUGUUGUGGUGUGUUGGGAGACAGGGAGAGGUGUUUGGAGACAAUGAGAGGUGUUAUGAUGUGUUGGGAGACAGGGAGAGGUGUUGUGGUGUGUUUUGAGAGAGAGAGGUUUGUUGUGGUGUGUUUUGAGACAGAGAGGUUUGUUGUGGUGUCUUGGGAGACAGAGAGGUUUUUUGGGUGUUUGAAGACAUAGAGAGGUGUUGUGGUGUGUUUGGAGACAGAGAGGUGUUGUGGUGUGUUGGGAGACAGGGAGAGGUGUUGGGAGACAGAGAGAGGUGUUGUGAUGUGUUGAGAUACAGAGAGAAGUGUCUUGGUGUGUUGGGAGACAGAGAGAGGUAUUGUGGUGUGUUGGGAGACAGAGAGAUUUGUUGUGGUGUGUUGGGAGACAGAGAGUGGUGUUGUGAUGUGUUUGGUGACAAAUAAGUAUUGUGAUGUGUUGAGAUACAGAGAGAAGUGUUGGGGUGUGUUGGGAGACAGAGAGAGGUGUUGUGGUGUGUUGGGAGACAGAGAGAGGUGUUGUGGUAUAUUGGGAGACAGAGAGAUGUUUUGGUGUGUUUUGAUAUGGAGAGAGGUGUUGGGAGACUGGGAGAGGUGUUGGGAGACAGAGAG